UACGGAGGAGGCAAGCGUUAUCCGGAAUUAUUGGGCGUAAAGCGUCCGCAGGUGGCACUUCAAGUCUGUCGUCAAAGACUGGGGCUUAACCCUGGAAAGGCGGUGGAAACUGAAGCGCUAGAGUGCGGUAGGGGUAGAGGGAAUUCCCGGUGUAGCGGUGAAAUGCGUAGAGAUCGGGAAGAACAUCGGUGGCGAAAGCGCUCUACUGGGCCAUAACUGACACUGAGGGACGAAAGCUAGGGGAGCGAAAGGG
rnacentral:rRNA from 1 species